UACGAAGGGGCGAGCGUUAUUCGGAAUCACUGGGCGUAAAGCGUGCGUAGGCGGUCCUAAAAGUUAGGAGUGAAAGCCCAGGGCUUAACCCUGGAAUUGCUCUUAAAACUAUAGGACUAGAAUUCGGGAGAGGAUAGCGGAAUUGUCAGUGUAGCAGUGAAAUGCGUAGAUAUUGACAGGAACACCAGUGGCGUAAGCGGCUAUCUGGACCGACAUUGACGCUGAGGCACGAAAGCGUGGGGAUCAAACAGG
rnacentral:rRNA from 1 species